UAUUGGGAUGGGACUAAGACAUGUUAGUCGAGCGUCUCUAAGCUAUGAUGGAGACGCGGCGCACAGCUCAGUAACACGUGGCUAACCUGCCCUUGGGACAGGGAUAACCCCGGGAAACUGGGGCUAAUACUUGAUAGGUGAGAACUCCUGGAAUGGAUUCUCGCUGAAAGGGCGUCUAGAUCAUGCUUUUAGGCGUCGCCCAAGGAGGGGGCCGCGGCCGAUCAGGUUGUUGGUAAGGUAACGGCUCACCAAGCCUUUGACCGGUACGGGCCGUGAGAGCGGUAGCCCGGAGAUGGGUACUGAGACAAGGGCCCAGGCCCUACGGGGCGCAGCAGUCGCGAAAACUCACCAAUUCACGAAAGUGUGAGUGGGCCAUCCCGAGUGCCAUCCGCUGAGGAUGGCUUUUCCUUAGUGUACAAAGCUGGGGGAAUAAGGAGAGGGCAAGUCUGGUGUCAGCCGCCGCGGUAAUACCAGCUCUCCGAGUGGUGGGGAUGUUUAUUGGGCCUAAAGCAUUCGUAGCCUGCUGGGCAAGUCCUCCGUUAAAUCCAACGACUCAAUCGUUGGGCCGCGGGGGAUACUGUUCGGCUAGGGGGCGGAAGAGGUCGACGGUAUUCUCGGGGUAGGGGUGAAAUCCUAUAAUCCCGGGAGGACCACCAGUGGCGAAGGCUGUCGGCUAGAACGCGCCCGACGGUGAGGGAUGAAAGCUUGGGGAGCGAACCGGAUUAGAUACCCGGGUAGUCCCAGCCGUAAACGAUGCAGGCUAGGUGUUGGCGCGGCUACGUGCCGCUCCAGUGCCGCAGGGAAGCCGUUAAGCCUGCCGCCUGGGAAGUACGGCCGCAAGGCUGAAACUUAAAGGAAUUGGCGGGGGAGCACCACAAGGGGUGAAGCUUGCGGUUUAAUUGGAGUCAACGCCGGA
rnacentral:rRNA from 1 species